CCAGAGGGCGCUGCAUUUCCUGACUGCUGUGGUGAUCAACGCGCAGCUUCCACUCCGCCAUUCACAUAGGAGGAAGAGCCUGGAGGAGAUGGCUGCCCUGAUAGAGAGCUCUCAAGUGAAUGUGGCGGAGGCCAUAGUGGGAGUUCAGGCCACGGGGAAAGGGAAUGCAGAGGUAGUAGUGGAACCCACGGCAAAUGCCGGGAUAGGGUCAGUGGCAGCGGCAGUCACCACUUCUUUCACUGAAGCCGGGGCUAUAGCAAAAGAAGGGGAGGCUUGUGGGGCGGUUCAAACCGUUCCGAAGAUUCUUUUGGCCUGGGUGGAACCCUCAGUUCAAAAAUUGGAAAUGGAGAAACUUGAGAGGCCCAAGGCAGGCCUUUCCAUGAAGCUGGGCAGAGGCGGUGACCCACAGAUCGACAUGUCUCUGGAUGACAUCAUAAAGCUCCAACGCAGGGCACAGGCCCGUAACCAGGCCUAUUAUGAUGGAAGAAGAGACUAUGAUGGAUACAGAUACUAUUACCAAAGAGGAUUUUAUGAAGGACCCCAGCGGAUAAGGAGGUGGUCUGGACGCCAGAAUAAUUACAGAAGAACCAUUCAGAAUUUAUCCAAGCCAAGGACAUAUUCUUCAGGCAACAGGUCAUUCAGCAGAAACAAUGCAGCUUAUGAGGAGGAUGAAGAUGACGAAUCAACAACUAGGCAGUUCCAGAACCAAAAUAACCACUUUGAGAGACGUGGAAGACGACCAACACGUGGACAAGAGAGAAAUCCAUUUUCGAGUGAUGCGAGAAGGCCUUCGGAGGCCUCUGGCACAAUUGCCAGUGGUGAAACAUCACCUGAAAGAGGGAAGAGGCAGGGGCAGCAGAGGGAUGAUGAAGUGACCCAGGUAUCCCCAUCAAAAUCCCACUCAUCUGAGCGGAAAUCGACAAACAAAAGCAGAUCGGACAGAAGCAGCGAUGAGGAAAUUUCAGAUGUCAAAGAAAAGCCUACCUUACCCAAGACUGAGAAAUUCGAGCCCAAAGGGAUCGCCUUGAAAUACAAUUUCCGGGCUCUCGGCAAUCAGACUAAAAUAACACUCCAUGAGAGAUUCUCCAUCCUGCAGCGGAUGAGGGGGAGCGUCACCGUUCCCAGAUCUAGGAACAGAACCGUCACCCUGCCCUAGGUGUUCACCAUCACGGCAGGACAGAGCCAGUCGUCUUUCAAUGCAUUUUUCACGACUGGUGUCUCUUCUAAUUGUUUGUUAAUAGAAAGUUUCAGUUCUCACCUAAAAUUGUUAAGCCGUAAUCUCAGUUAUUCAUUCAAAUCAGUUUUGUAGGAAGACCCAGUAUACCCAGAGGGGACAGUCCCUGUGGGCUCUACAUUCAGGCUCCUUUCCCAGAAAAGGGACCAGGUGAGGGAGAAGGGGUGGAGCGUCUGGAUGGUUUCUAGUUGUUACUUCAGCCUUAUAGCAUCAGAGGGCUCUUUCGGGCCAAGUUUACUGAGGAGCUCAGCUCCCAUUCUGCUCCAGCAUUAGUGUAGACUAGUCCCAUGGGCCUGGCCCAACCUCAGCGGGGCUUUGUAAAACAUCCGAGCAUUGGCUGGUAUGUUGUACACGCACUAAAUAAAGACUUUGAAAACAAGGCCUCGACUCA
ensembl:lncRNA